rnacentral:tRNA from 2 species
GUGGCAUUAGCUCAGUUGGUUAGAGCGCCGGAUUGUGAUUCCGGAGGUCGCGGGUUCGAGUCCCGUAUGCCACC